rnacentral:lncRNA from 1 species
AGCCGCUCUCUCACUCUUACGCCUCUCUCUCCCUCUCGGCUUCCUGCCUGCCGCCGCCACCGGACGGUCGCGCCGUCGCCGGAGGCCGGCGGCUCUACCUCCCUCUCUCCCUCUCACUUCUCGCCCUCUUCCCUCAACUCUAUCUCACUCGAUCGUCUCUCUCUCACUGUUUUCCUCGCGAGCUCCGCCGUGAGCUGCUCCGGCGACCACAGGACAGCCAUGGCCGCCGCCCUUCUCUCCAUCUCACUCUCCAUCGUUGGCCGGACAGCAGCAGCAAAGCCGCCGUUGCCGGCGCCUCCCUCUGCUCACUCAUCUUCUCCCUUCCUCCCUCGGCGGAAUCGAUGCAUGCGCCUCGCCGUGAAGGAGC